rnacentral:rRNA from 1 species
GACGAACGCUGGCGGCGUGCCUAAUACAUGCAAGUCGAACGCAGUGGGGACGGGUGAGUAGCACGUGGGUAACCUCCCAUCAGAGGAGCUAACACUUGGAUACAGGUGCUAAACCGACAUCGGAGGAUGGACCCGCGGUGCAUUAGCUAGUUGGUGAGGUAACGGCUCACCAAGGCAACGAUGCGUAGCUGACCUGAGAGUGUGACCGGCCACACUGGGACUGAGACACGGCCCAGACUCCUACGGGAGGCAGCAGUGGGGAAUCUUCGGCAAUGGACGAAAGUCUGACCGAGCAACGCCGCUUGAAUGAAGAAGGUUUUCGGGUCGUAAAACUCUGUUGUUAGAGAAGCGGUAUCUAACCAGAAAGCCACGGCUAACUACGUGCCAGCAGCCGCGGUAAUUC